UCAGACGAUGCGUCAUGCAUAUCAAUAAGCGGAGGAAAAGAAACUAACAAGGAUUCCCCUAGUAACGGCGAGUGAAGCGGGAAGAGCUCAAAUUUGAAAUCUUAAAGGGUUUCCCUUUACGAAUUGUAGUUUAAAGAAGUGUUUUCUGUUGAGGUUUUGGUAAAAGUUCUUUGGAAUAGGACAUCAUAGAGGGUGAGAAUCCCGUAUUUGACCUUUACUUUCAACUUUGUGAUACACUUUCAAAGAGUCGGAUUGUUUGGGAAUGCAGUCCAAAAUGGGUGGUAAAUUUCAUCUAAAGCUAAAUAUUGGCGAGAGACCGAUAGCGAACAAGUACCGUGAGGGAAAGAUGAAAAGAACUUUGAAAAGAGAGUUAAACAGUACGUGAAAUUGUCAAAGGGGAAGCGUUUGACACCAGUGUUGUUUUUCUGAAAAUCAAUUAAAGAACUGUUUAUGCUAAGCUGUUUAGACUUUAUCAGCUAUCUGUUUAGUUUUGAGCUUUUCUUUAAUGCACUUUUCAGUUAACAAGUCAACAUCAAUUUCUUUUGCUGUAAAAAAGCUUGAGGAAGGUGGCUUGAGAUUCGUCUUAAGUGUUUAUAGCCUCUUGCCUAUGCAGUCGGAGAGAUUGAGGUCUGCAGCGUAGAUCCUUCGGGGCUAAAUGCAUUUGUGCUAAGUUAUAGCAUUUUAUAGACAACUUGUUGACUAUGAUUUGUCUUGUAGCUUACUCGCUUAUGUUAUUUUACCUACGCUUAGGAUGUUGACACACGCGCGUGCUCG
rnacentral:rRNA from 1 species